CAACCCAUCAGACAUGCAUUUGUCUACAUCUGCACAUGCCAGUAACAGUGUUCUCUGUCUCUCUCGUGGAUAAGUGGAAAGUCUGGCUCAAACACCAGCGGCCAUCAAGUGUCCAUCCUGUGAAGAGACUGUCUUCACAGAAACCAGCAGCAGAGUGGGCGAGACUACGUGGUUGCUUUUUUACAUGUGCACCAUGAUGGGGUGUGUCGCAGGUUGCUGUUUAAUCCCUUUCUUCAUGAGCCGUGUGAAGGACGUCCACCACCAGUGUCCCAAGUGCCAGGCAAAAAUACACAUCCACCAGCCACUUUGACCUGGAGGUUACUAUAUUAACAGCACUGGUGCUAUUCGUACAGUAUGAGCCACUACGAAUGUGCUCGAGUGACAACUUCCUGUGGACUAGGAGCUGUCUGGGACUCGGCCUCUGCUGUAGACUCCACAAUGAUCGUGGCGAUGUGCAUGGAAUCAAGUACAGCGCUGGUACAAACUGUAAAAAAGGCUCACUUAUGCCAACCUAGGCCAACCUAGUCAACCUCAGUUUGCCCACCUGAAUGUCUGCAUAACAUGAACGCUCUAAGCUUGCAAAUGCAAACACUGCCAUUCAAAUCAAUACUUACUUUAAUAAUGUCUAGACUAGUUAAGGUGUCAGAUACUAAUACCUUUAGAAAAACUGACCCCUUCAAAAGGAUCAAUGCCCUUUUUUCGGCUGGUAUUAGGACACAGCUUUGUGGGUUGUCUGUCAACACUCUAAUGAGCUCCAUGACAACUUGGUCUAAGGAAAGUAAACCUGGGAAUAUGUUAUCUCAAAGGAAAAUGGAAAUGCCUUGCUGAAAAUAUGCAAAUAGGGACCUGUAACCUGACAAAGGACUGUUUGUAUACACUGUCAGCCAUGACACAAUUCAAAUGUAGUGCCUUGCUUGUGUCUUCUGUUUCUGCACUCACGCCAGUUAUUUGAAAUACUAUUUGUGAUACAUUUUAUAAAGAAUUGUGCAUUAUUAUGUAAUUAACUCUAACAGAGGCAUUCACAGUACAACACAUUUUAUUGACACAUAAAGGCAUACAGUACUCAUAUACAUCUUUUGGAGUAUUUACAAAAUAAAGAACCCAUGGAUGUUACACAUGUAGAAAAAUAUGCAUUACAUCUAUAGAAAUAUGUACACAAUGUGCAAAACAUAUGGCAUACAAACAACAAGAGGCAUGGCAGGUGGAGAUGGAGACUCGGCUACAAUGAAAGAUGUAAAUUUCCCCAAAAUAUAUUGAUUUUAUAAAAUGUCUUCUCCACCAAAACAUGUACAAUGUUGAUGAUAAAAUUCCAAUGAAUGAUGACAAGCUGAAGUCGAUAUGGGGAAGCCCGAACCAACAUCUGUUACCAUCCACUAUAAAAGUAGACGAGUUGACAGAACCCUUUAGCCCUUCUUCAGAUGGACUCCGCCUCCACAAACCUCUAAAUUAAGAGGGCUAUUCACACAACCACUCAGCUAUUAAGUGCUGCUGAACUUAUGAAUGACCUUUUAAACUGUAUUGCGUUGUAGUAAAGGUUGUUACAAUGAUAAAAUCAAGGCAUGAUCUGACUAACUGUACAGUACAGUAUAUCAAUCAAUGUUAAGUGGUGUCACAUUGAGUAAAUCGCACACAUGUGUAGAUUUACUGCAGCCAAGAGGUGUGUGCAUUUCUAAUAUGAAAAAUAGUUUUUUUUAAACUGCAAACCAAAAAUAUACACAUGAAAUCCUCUCCGACAUUUUUAAAUUAGCUGAAUAAAAGAUUGAUUUUUCUUUUCACCCUCCGAAAAAAGGUGAUAUGGAUACAAAAAAGUGAGAAAAUAAACAAAGUGUGGUAGUAUGAUCCACUGCCUUUUUUGGCAACAACAUAUUAAAUAUGAGAGCCUUAAAGGUGACAGACUGGAAAGAAAAAAAUAUGAUCUAGUCAUUUCUUCUAGGAUACACAAGAAUCAACUAGAUAUCUUACUGUUAAUCCCACGUGGGAUUAAAAC